rnacentral:rRNA from 1 species
UACGUAGGGCGCAAGCGUUGUCCGGAAUUAUUGGGCGUAAAGAGCUCGUAGGCGGCUUGUCGCGUCUGUCGUGAAAGCCCGGGGCUUAACUCCGGGUCUGCGGUGGAUACGGGCAGGCUAGAGGCAGGUAGGGGAGAACGGAAUUCCCGGUGUAGCGGUGAAAUGCGCAGAUAUCAGGAGGAACACCGGUGGCGAAGGCGGGUCUCUGGGCCGAUAUUGACGCUGAGGAGCGAAAGCGUGGGGAGCGAACAGG